rnacentral:tRNA from 1 species
ACCUGGGUGGCUCAGUUGGUUGAGCGUCUGACUUGGGCUCAGGUCAUGAUCUCAUAGUUUGUGAGUUCAAGCCCCACGUCAGGCU